CCUACGGGAGGCAGCAGUGGGGAAUUUUGGACAAUGGGCGAAAGCCUGAUCCAGCCAUGCCGCGUGCGGGAAGAAGGCCCUCGGGUUGUAAACCGCUUUUGUCAGGGAAGAAAUCCUUUGAGUUAAUACCUCGGAGGGAUGACGGUACCUGAAGAAUAAGCACCGGCUAACUACGUGCCAGCAGCCGCGGUAAUACGUAGGGUGCGAGCGUUAAUCGGAAUUACUGGGCGUAAAGCGUGCGCAGGCGGUCUUGCAAGACAGGUGUGAAAUCCCCGGGCUCAACCUGGGAACUGCACUUGUGACUGCAAGGCUGGAGUACGGCAGAGGGGGAUGGAAUUCCGCGUGUAGCAGUGAAAUGCGUAGAUAUGCGGAGGAACACCGAUGGCGAAGGCAAUCCCCUGGGCCUGUACUGACGCUCAUGCACGAAAGCGUGGGGAGCAAACAGGAUUAGAUACCCUGGUAGUCCACGCCCUAAACGAUGUCAACUGGUUGUUGGACGGCUUGCUGUUCAGUAACGAAGCUAACGCGUGAAGUUGACCGCCUGGGGGAGGUACGGCCGCGAGUAGAACGUACGAAGAGUAGUAGCGNGAGAGAGCGACGACGACGACGACGGAGGAGGAGG
rnacentral:rRNA from 1 species